rnacentral:ncRNA from 2 species
AAGAAAGACGGCGAUGGAGUUCGCCGGGCAUAUGCCGAACGCUUCGCGCUGAUGACUCCUGUCCCUUA